GCCUCGGUGGUGUAGUAGUAGCACGCGUCCCCACUAUGAAUGAAACGCGGGUUCGACUCCCGUCUUAGGUCA